CCUACGGUGGGCAGCAGUGGGGAAUAUUGGACAAUGGGCGAAAGCCUGAUCCAGCCAUGCCGCGUGUGUGAAGAAGGCCUUCGGGUUGUAAAGCACUUUCAGUGGGGAAGAAAGCCUUGGGGCUAAUACCCUCGAGGAAGGACAUCACCCACGGAAGAAGCACCGGCUAACUCCGUGCCAGCAGCCGCGGUAAUACGGAGGGUGCGAGCGUUAAUCGGAAUUACUGGGCGUAAAGCGCGCGUAGGCGGUCUGAUAAGCCGGUUGUGAAAGCCCCGGGCUCAACCUGGGAACGGCAUCCGGAACUGUCAGGCUAGAGUGCAGGAGAGGAAGGUAGAAUUCCCGGUGUAGCGGUGAAAUGCGUAGAGAUCGGGAGGAAUACCAGUGGCGAAGGCGGCCUUCUGGACUGACACUGACGCUGAGGUGCGAAAGCGUGGGUAGCAAACAGGAUUAGAUACCCCUGUAGUC
rnacentral:rRNA from 1 species